rnacentral:rRNA from 1 species
CCUACGGGAGGCAGCAGUGAGGAAUAUUGGUCAAUGGACGAGAGUCUGAACCAGCCAAGUAGCGUGAAGGAUGACUGCCCUAUGGGUUGUAAACUUCUUUUAUAAAGGAAUAAAACGAGGCACGUGUGCCUUUUUGCAUGUACUUUAUGAAUAAGGAUCGGCUAACUCCGUGCCAGCAGCCGCGGUAAUACGGAGGAUCCGAGCGUUAUCCGGAUUUAUUGGGUUUAAAGGGAGCGUAGAUGGGUUGUUAAGUCAGUUGUGAAAGUUUGCGGCUCAACCGUAAAAUUGCAAUUGAUACUGGCAGUCUUGAGUACAGUUGAGGUAAGCGGAAUUCGUGGUGUAGCGGUGAAAUGCUUAGAUAUCACGAAGAACCCCGAUUGCGAAGGCAGCUUACCAAACUGUGACUGACAUUGAUGCUCGAAAGUGUGGGUAUCAAACAGGAUUAGAUACCCGGGUAGUC